GUCUUGUUUCCAAAAGAUGAUUCCCUUCUGGCUAAGAUGCCUUUAUUAUUCACUUAUGACUUGUUUGGUAAUGUUGACUCUACAACAAUGAACAAAUAUAUGAAAAAAGGAAAAGAAAAUGAAACUAAAAUCUUGUUCAUUUUAAUGUUUAAUCUUGUAUAACAUACAUGCCAUUAAUGAAUGUUGAACAGUGAAUUUUGACGAUUCACAGUUGGUCGUUUUCUUCUAUGUUUGUGCUAAUAUUCUUAAGCAAAUGUUGCUAAAUCUCAUUGAAUAACCUAAGAUCCCAUAUAUGGUAUCUAUUUGUCACCUUCUUGUUCAAAUAGUUUUUAAUUUCCUAUUGAUAAACAUGACUUUAGUUUUAUGUUGAUUAGAGAAAAGUGGCUAAAUGUUUCCUUUUCUGUAAAAAGCAUAUCUCUGUCUAUUUAUCAGACGUGCUUGAAUAUAUUUGUGUUACAUUGACCAUAGAAAAGUCCUACGUUAUGGUCAUACUGAGAGAGUUGAACUCAGAGGGUGUGGGAUGAACUUUUGAUUAUGAAGUAAUAGCUUAAAACUUUGUUUCAGUUUUCACUCUCCCUAACAAAAUCAGUUGAGAGCUCCUCAUUUGAGUUUGUACUAGAAGAUUUACAUCUUGUGAGUUGCUUCUUGGAUUCUUUUAUAAACUAUAUAGUUUUGCCACCUUUCCUUAUCACUUAGGCCACUGCCAUUUACUGCAGUUAUGUAUUGAUUUUACUUCAGAACUUUAACUUAUUUGAGUCUGUAAACCUUUCAUUUCUGCUCGAGCUAACUGUCUCAAAGAAUCCAUUAUAAAAUUUUCCAACCAGUUCCAACUAUAGUUUUGGUAAUAAACUGAUGAUUAUCGUAGUUUAAUGACUUAUUAUUGUACUUUAUUCUGCACUUCUUUCACUUUUUGUCUAUUAAGAAUCGUAAAACCUCAUCUAUUUCCUGCUAUCCCUCUCUCCUUUAUUUUAUUUUAUUUUAUCUCAAUUGAAUAUGCUAGAUUGCCAUUUGAAUUCAGAAAUUGCGUACUUUCAAGUGACAAAUUAUAUGUGGAAAGUACAGGUAUGAAUUUUAUAUACAUCACAAUUUUAGAAUUGUUUCCAGUUUUCUCAUUUCUUUAUGCGUGAAGUAAGUGUGCACAAACAUCUUUUUUUAUUUGUAUAUGCAACUUUAACUUAUAAUUUAGGUUUUUCAGUACAAAAGUUCUUUUUAAGUGGAUGCUUUCUAAUUAAUUUAUCCAUAAUCAGUUCAUGCAACUCUUGGUUUAUGGGACGAUGUGAUAAAUAUUUCCAAGUAUAGAUGAAGAGCCUCUUCUACUUUAAACCCUAUUCAGGAAAUUAUUUAGCUUAUUUUUCAAAUAGUUAGCUUCUGCAGAUUGGGUUUGUAGGGUGGUCCUAAUUUCUGCAGUGUGUUUCUGAAAUGCAUACUGAUUUUCAUUGUUUAUUUUAUAAGUAAACUGUGGUCCAAAAUAUAAGUUUCCCUCCUAUUUUUCUUGUAUAAAAGAAUUGUCAUAGAAAGUGACAUUUAAAGUUUGUGUGUGAAAAUUAAGCAAGCUAAUCUUUACGUUGCGUAGGGCUGCAGACGAGCGAAGAUAAUGCAUGCUUGGCUUGUACAGAAUUCUUUCAAGAUCAGCUUGAGAAAUGUAUCGAGAAAGUUAAUGAUUAUAAAUCCCAAUGGUUUGAGUUUGAUCUUGAAUUGAUGAGUUUCAGUUCGAAUGAUAAGUUAUCGCCGCAAGGGAUACUGGCUAUAGCAUUAUGAAAUGUUUGGUAUGUGAUCUCUCUUCUACCUUUCAUCGCUCCCAUAUCGUCAUAUGGAAACACGGGGCGUAAAAAAUUGAAUUCUAUCACCGCGUUACGACCUCUUAUUACCUAUCUAACUUAAUGUUUUAUUGAAUUAGAAUUUGGUGGUCCCAUUCCCAUAGUUUGAUAAGUAAAGGAAUGGUUAGUGUUGUGGAAACUCAAGUUUAACUCAGUAUUUGUCGGUAUCAUGUAUUGCUACUCAAUAAAAUUGACUGCAAACCAACAUAAAUUGAUGUCUACAGCUAUAGAUUGUGAAAUUGCUUUAGCAGGGUUUCAGGGAAGUGAAGUUUUCAUUAUAAAAAUUUUAUGGACCAUUUUCUUUUCAAUAAAAAAUAAAUUAUUGUGUUUAAUAUCACGGGCACGAGGUGCAAGGCUCGGACUGCCAACAUUGAACUGGGCCGUCAAAUAAGCCCAUUCAAUUUGCUGUAUCUCCUUUGUGCGGCCAGAGUUUAUGGACUAACAAAUUGUGGGAGAAUAGAAUGCAAGAAUUAUAAAGGUUGAAUCUCAACCUUGAAGGCUCCUAUCGUCCCGUCCUUAGAGUUUUGUGAGAGAGGUAAAUAGCGGGAUGUGCCUCAACAGACCAGGGAACAAGAGUUGCGUGUACACUGCGCCUACAAAAAGUCAAAUUUCAUGUCUCAGGAAUCGAAUCCUCACACUGCGGCUGUCAGCAAGACGUGAGAUAACAUCACUCCCGUCCUUUGUACCACUAGGCCAUGCCUCGAGGGGCGAAUGCAAUAAUUAUAGAUUGAAUUAAUUAUGGAGUUACAAUUACAUUUAUUUUUUAUUUUAUUUUUUAACCUUUACAUUGUUAUUCUUAGCAUUAUAUUUAUUUGUUCAUCCUUUCUUUGAUAAUAGUUUUCAUACAAAUAAUUUGUUUAAGA
rnacentral:lncRNA from 1 species